CAUAGCUCAGUUGGUAGAGCAUGGCACUGUAAGAAGUUCCUCAAACACCGUGGUCCAAAGGUCGCUGGUUCAACUCCAGCUCCAA
rnacentral:tRNA from 1 species